AACGAACGCUGGCGGCAUGCCUAACACAUGCAAGUCGAACGAGACCUUCGGGUCUAGUGGCGCACGGGUGCGUAACGCGUGGGAACCUGCCUUUAGGUUCGGAAUAACUCAGAGAAAUUUGAGCUAAUACCGGAUGAUGUCUUCGGACCAAAGAUUUAUCGCCUUUAGAUGGGCCCGCGUUGGAUUAGCUAGUUGGUGGGGUAAGGCCUACCAAGGCGACGAUCCAUAGCUGGUCUGAGAGGAUGAUCAGCCACACUGGGACUGAGACACGGCCCAGACUCCUACGGGAGGCAGCAGUGGGGAAUAUUGGACAAUGGGCGAAAGCCUGAUCCAGCAAUGCCGCGUGAGUGAUGAAGGCCUUAGGGUUGUAAAGCUCUUUUACCCGAGAUGAUAAUGACAGUAUCGGGAGAAUAAGCGCCGGCUAACUCCGUG
rnacentral:rRNA from 1 species